GCAUAUCAAUAAGCGGAGGAAAAGAAACCAACAGGGAUUGCCUCAGUAACGGCGAGUGAAGCGGCAACAGCUCAAAUUUGAAAUCUGGCUCUUUCAGGGUCCGAGUUGUAAUUUGUAGAGGAUGUUUCGGGUGUGGCUCCGGUCUAAGUUCCUUGGAACAGGACGUCAUAGAGGGUGAGAAUCCCGUAUGUGACUGGUAGCCUAUGCCCAUGUGAAACUCCUUCGACGAGUCGAGUUGUUUGGGAAUGCAGCUCAAAAUGGGUGGUAAAUUUCAUCUAAAGCUAAAUAUUGGCCAGAGACCGAUAGCGCACAAGUAGAGUGAUCGAAAGAUGAAAAGCACUUUGGAAAGAGAGUUAAACAGUACGUGAAAUUGUUGAAAGGGAAGCGCUUGCAACCAGACUUGCAUGUAGCUGAUCAACCGGUGUUCUCACCGGUGCACUCAGUUGCGUUCAGGCCAGCAUCGGUUUCGACGGUUGGAUAAAGGCCUUGGGAAUGUAGCUUCUUUCGGGGAGUGUUAUAGCCCAGGGUGCAAUGCAGCCUGUUGGGACCGAGGACCGCGCUUCGGCUAGGAUGCUGGCGUAAUGGUUGUAAGCGACCCGUCUUGAAACACGGACCAAGGAGUCUAACAUCUAUGCGAGUGUUUGGGUGUCAAACCCAUACGCGUAAUGAAAGUGAACGGAGGUGAGAACCCUUAAGGGUGCAUCAUCGACCGAUCCUGAUGUCUUCGGAUGGAUUUGAGUAAGAGCAUAGCUGUUGGGACCCGAAAGAUGGUGAACUAUGCCUGAAUAGGGUGAAGCCAGAGGAAACUCUGGUGGAGGCUCGCAGCGGUUCUGACGUGCAAAUCGAUCGUCAAAUUUGGGUAUAGGGGCGAAAGACUAAUCGAACCAUCUAGUAGCUGGUUCCUGC
rnacentral:rRNA from 1 species